GUCCCGUGCUCAACCUGUCCCGACCUGGUUUUCCUCCAACCGGCGAACCAGCCAAACCCUAGAACGAACCGACCGAGCAGGCCAUCGCCACCCCCACGGACUCGCCGCAGCCGCUGCAGCUGCAGCUGUCGCGCCGCAUGGCCGAGUACGAGGAGCGCUACGAGGGCAACGCCGCCGCCGCCGUCACCGGAGGCUCCCCGCCGACCAAGCCCUCCGGUUUCUCCGACCAACCCGACGGUCGCUCCCAGCAGGAGGUACAGUCACAUGAGGGAAGCUCCUCAAAAUCUAGAGAGAGGGACAGAGGACGAGAGAAGGACAAGGACACGGAGCGUGAUAGAGAACAUGGAAGAGAUAGAGAAAGGGGCCGUGAUAAGGACAGGGAGAGGGACCGGGGUGACCGGGACCGGGAACGCGACCGCCACCAUAGGGAGCACCGUGAAAGAAGUGAAAAAAGGGAGCACCGUGAAAGAAGUGAGAAAAGGGAGCACCGUGGCCAUUCUGAUGACCAUGAUCGUCAUCGCAGCCGUGACCAUGAUAUUGAAAGAAGAGACCGUGACAGAGAUGGCCAUCGCAGGCAUCGCUCCCGCUCCCGUUCUAAGGGUCGUGAACGCAGAUCCAGAUCUCGUUCGCGUUCUCGUUCAAAGAGCAAGCGGGUGAGCGGAUUUGACCAGGGACCAUCGCAAGCCAUUCCUAUGGUUACUCCUGGCGCGACCCCAGGUCAGCUGCCCGCAGUUACCCCUCUUAUUACUGGGAUGCUUCCAAACAUGUUUAAUUUCACUGCUCCUACGCAGUUCAAUCCUCUAGUUAUGCAACCACAGGCCAUGACACAACAGGCUACCCGGCAUGCUAGGCGUGUUUAUGUUGGUGGACUUCCACCAACUGCCAAUGAGCAGACAGUUGCUAUAUACUUCAAUCAAGUUAUGGCUGCUAUUGGAGGAAACACAGCUGGUCCUGGUGAUGCUGUUCUUAAUGUAUACAUAAACCAUGACAAGAAAUUUGCUUUUGUGGAGAUGAGGUCUGUGGAGGAAGCAAGCAAUGCAAUGGCCUUAGAUGGUAUAAUGUUUGAGGGAGCACCGGUCAAAGUUAGAAGGCCAACAGACUAUAAUCCUUCCCUGGCUGCUGCACUGGGUCCAAGCCAGCCAAACCCUAAUCUAAAUCUUGGUGCUGUUGGCUUGACACCUGGCUCAGCUGGAGGUUUAGAAGGCCCUGAUCGCAUCUUUGUGGGUGGCCUCCCGUACUACUUCACCGAGGCUCAAGUGCGGGAGUUGCUUGAAUCCUUUGGACCGUUGCGAGGAUUUGAUCUUGUGAAGGAUAGGGAGACAGGCAACUCGAAAGGAUAUGCCUUCUGUGUAUACCAGGAUCUUAAUGUCACCGACAUUGCCUGUGCUGCCCUGAAUGGUAUCAAGAUGGGAGACAAGACCCUCACUGUUAGGCGAGCAAAUCAAGGCACUUCUCAACCAAGGCCAGAGCAAGAAACCAUCCUGUUGCACGCACAACAACAAGUGCAGAUGCAGAAACUCGUGCUACAAGUUGGAGGGGCUCUACCGACAAAGGUAGUAUGCCUGACCCAGGUGGUUUCAGCAGAUGAACUGAGAGAUGAUGAGGAAUACGAGGAUAUUUUGGAAGACAUGAGGGAAGAAGGGCGCAAAUAUGUCCACAUAAAUGCCAUUGCAGAGUCUUUUAUAGUCCAACCCCAUGCAAUAUUGGCAAUCGGGCUUAACCUACAGAAGACACACUAUUCUUUUCCAAUUGGAUAUGAUUGAUCAUAUAUCAUGUAUUUCUUGUUUAUGUAUGUACUCACUAACACUUGGACAGGUAACUUGGUUAAAGCUGUCAUCCCACGACCUGACCCCAGCGGCGCUGCUGUUCCUGGAGUUGGAAAGGUGUUUCUGGAAUAUGCAGAUAUCGACGGCUCGACCAAGGCGAAGGUCGGGAUGCAUGGCAGGAAGUUUGGCGGGAACCAGGUGGUGGCCGUGUUCUAUCCUGAAAACAAGUUUGCUGAUGGAGAUUACGAUGAUUAGAUGAAGUCCUCUGCUCAGUUCACACCCAUAUCAUGCUUUUGCUUAGUUUUCAAAUUGAAUCCUUUUUUAAUCUGUUUGUGGAACCGUCUGCUCGAUAUAUGGUAUAAUUUUAUUUGUCAAGUACAUGUACCGCUGCUGCCCUUGCCUACAAGUACUGUAUCCAAACUUGAUCAGUGCUGGUAUCUUCCCCUUACUGCAUGCGGGAAAGGAUAUAUAAUGACUUAUAUUAUGCUACUUCCUCUGGUCACUUUUGUAAGACCUUUUAGACAUUUAAGACAACACCUAAAGCAGUUCAAUUUCAGCUGUCUUAAAUGCCAUACAAAAGUGAACAGAGGGAGCAUUAAAGGAUUGUAAGCAUGUUUUUCGGCGCUGCUAUACGUACGACACAUUUGUAUCGGAUGCCUGUAUGAUCAUACGUGGCAGUGCUGCGAGCGUGCGCGGGCAGGAGGCAACGGAGAGGACCAUCCACCGAAAUCCGCAGCCCAAGACCAACCCAUAGCCCAAAAGCCAUCUCUUCUCGUCCACUCUCUCGCGCGCGCGACCGACGCGGUGGCCGCUGCAACACCCCACCGACGGCCGGACCUGCACAUGGAUUUGUGGCUCUCCACAACUCCAACAAACAUCGCCUUUCUAUCUCUUUCAUUGUCUUCAGCUGCAGUUAUUGGUGCAGCAGUCCGCGAGCACGCCGUCGUCGUCUUGGCCGCCGCUGCCGCCAUCGACGCCGCGCCUCUCAUCAAUCACUUGUCUUCCUGUCAUGCUGAUCUAAGGUUGGAGAGAGUUGUCGUGAUCUUCUGUAACUUGGAUUGCUAAUCUAGUGGCGAGAAAUUGACUUGUAAAUACUCCCUCCGUUCCGAUUUACUCGUCGUGGUUUUAGUUCAAAUUUGAACUAAAACCACGACGAAUAAAUCGGAACGGAGGGAGUACAAGAACCGGCUGUUCCUCUCUGUCGGCUACAUGUGAGCUGGUUGUGAAGGCAUCGGCAUGUGAAGUUACUUGUACUCUCAAAGUGCGCAUAUGUGAAAGGAAUGACACUAUGACAACUAUUUCUUUCAGAUUUGUUUCAA